rnacentral:rRNA from 1 species
AAUGAACGCUGGCGGCGUGCCUAACACAUGCAAGUCGAGCGAGACGGUUGUGAAGGAUCCUUCGGGUGACUGAUCAGCUAGACAGCGGCGGACGGGUGAGUAACGCGUGGGCAACCUGCCUUGUACUGGGGGAUAACGUUUUGAAAAGAACGCUAAUACCGCAUAAGCGCACAGUAUCGCAUGAUACAGUGUGAAAAACUCCGGUGGUACAAGAUGGGCCCGCGUCUGAUUAGCUAGUUGGUGAGAUAAAAGCUCACCAAGGCGACGAUCAGUAGCCGACCUGAGAGGGUGAUCGGCCACAUUGGGACUGAGACACGGCCCAAACUCCUACGGGGAGGCAGCAGUGGGGAAUAUUGCACAAUGGGGGAAACCCUGAUGCAGCGACGCCGCGUGAAGGAUGACGGAUUUCGGUCUGUAAACUUCUAUCAGCAGGGAAGAUAGUGACUGUACCUGACUAAGAAGCCCCGGCUAACUACGUG